rnacentral:rRNA from 1 species
GAUGAACGCUGGCGGCGUGCCUAAUACAUGCAAGUCGAGCGAACAGACGAGGAGCUUGCUCCUCUCACGUUAGCGGCGGACGGGUGAAUAACGCGUGGAUACCCUCCCUAUAAGACUGGUAUAACUUCGGGAAACCGGCGCUAAUCCCGGAUAAUAUAUUGAACCGCGUGGUUCAAUAGUGAAAGUCGGUUUUGCUGUCACUUAUCGCGGGAUCCGCGCCGCAUUAGCUAGUUGGUAAGGUCAAGGCUUUCCAAGGCAACGAUGCGUAGCCGACCUGAGAGGGUGAUAGGCCACACGGGAACUGAGACACGGUCCAGAGUCCUACGGGAGGCAGCAGUAGGGAAUCGGACGCAGUGGGCGAAAGCAUGACGGAGCAACGGGGAGCGAGUGAUGGAGGUGCUGCGUGCGUAAAACUCUGUUAUGAGGGAAGAACAAAUGUGUAAGUAACCAUGCACGGAGUGACGGUAAUUAAUAAGAAAGCAACGGCUAACUACGUG